ACCUCUGAAGAAGAUGGCUGCUUUGGUUAUGGUCACUGCAUAGGUGCUGGUGGCUGCAUAUUAAUGCCCGCUUUGUCCCCUGCCUUUGCAGCAGUAAGGCGGUCAGCUUCUCAGAGCCAGCCACAGUGUGUGCUGUGCUUGUGCUGGCCCUGUCAGUCUGUGCGUGGUAGCAGUGUUUGUGCUAAUACAGGUCCCAUCUUGGCAGGCUUGAGGUCUGAGAGACCGCUGAACCCCUGUGUAUGCCCUCUUCUGCAGGAGGGGAAGGGCAGCCGCUGGCUCCUGUCUCGGUGCUAGUCUGCGGGCUGCUGGUGGACUGGUCCCCGGGGGCCUUCACAUCUCCAGGCCGGGCAGCAGCUCACCCCAGUGCUUUGGGCUCCCAGGAGCCAGAGACGCAAGCAGGUGAGCCCAGACCUGAUGGUGACUCCUGUGCAGGUGGAUGACCAUCCCACAGAACAUGCUGGAGGCUUUGCAUGGCCCCAGGGACCUGCUGGCACCACAGCAAGUUCUGCUUAGAGAGCCCAAGCCUGAGAGAGGUGUACAGACAUAAGCACUUUGAGAACAACUGACAUAAAAGUGCCAACCUUUUGGUAAGCUACUUGUGUGUGAAGACUAUCAAAGUGACUAAAGAACAUGAUAGGAGUCCUGUGAUGGCAGGACAGCACAGCAUGGCGAAUUAUUUUUGCCUCGUAUUAUGCUCUGUUUGGUCUGUUAGUCUGAUUAUACUGAGUCUGUCAUGCACACAGCUGCUAUGGAAGUGCGUAUGUAAAUAUUCACUUAAAUAAACACAUCAGCUUUGAUAAACGCACCUCUGCUCAAUGAACCUGGCCAGCUAGCAUAAAUCAGUACAGAUAUUAAAAACAGGGACAAUAAGUGGAACUUUUUCCUCUGUGUGUGUAGCAGAUGCCACUAUAUUUAUGACCUUUGCCCUGUUAGUAAUCUCUAUAGCAUACACUAGCCAUAUAGGCUAACCCCUAUAGGGGUUAGCCUAUAUACAUAUAGGGCUGCACCAUGGAGAUGGAGAAAAAGAGGUUUUCAUUAGGAGAUUUAUUCUUGAAAAUGAGAAUUUAAUCCUCAAACAAAACAGAGAAGGCCUUGGAAUUAAUCAGCAAUGUUUCAGAGGCUGGAGUGCCAAGGCCUCUAUUUAUCUGCCACAGAAAAGCCACUGGCUGCAUGGCCAGAGCUCACCAUUACAAAGUGAUGGAGCAGCACUGAAAUCUCUCAGCUUCCGUGGAAAUUACCUGAAACGGAAAGUGCCAAAUACUUUCUGAGAGUUACUUGACUCUCUGCAAGCUGAAACUCUAACACGUUGUCAUUUAUUUAUCUUUCAUUUGCAUGCCAGCCACACUGCUGAAUGGAACCUGGUGCUUCUUUAUACUAAGGCCUCUCUGAACCACUUCAGUGUUAAUAUCUGGUGACGACACCUCAGUCUGAAAGAGGAUGCACCUGUGUAGCGUCUGUGCAGCUCGAGUUAUUCUGAAUCCCUCUGAAAGGCUGGGGCCAAAACCAGCACAUACUGCUCCUUUGCUGUGGGCUGUCAGGUAAAUGUACUGGCAAAAGUGACCAACAAGAACUUAUAAAUAAAAUCUGCUAAAGGGGGAAAGAGGCAAAGAGAGCAAGCAGACCUUAUUACCUACAUAAUGUAAAUGAUCCCUGACAUUCUUAGGUUCCCUUUAGAAAACUGAAUCCUUCCACAAGAAUGGAUGUAAGGCUUACGAUAUCUGAUACCACAAACAGGAAAGUUUGGAAACUGACUCUCAGGAUCUGCGCUCACUGGAGCCUGGCUAACGCUUUGUGUCUUUGCUAUGUUUACUUGAUCUACAGUUCAAAUUACAGCGCAGCAACUGACCACAUAACAUGAUAAAAGAGAAGUUUGUCCCUACCUGACAUGGCCUUUGUAUCUGAUGUGCCUCAUAUCUCUCCGGGUAAAUUGGCUCAGCUUGACUUGAAUAAAAAACAAAAUAAAUAAUUUUCAAAUCUUCUACCCAUUCAAGAUCUGUCUUCACUUACACUGGGUCUACUUCCGUUUUCCUUUCAUUUUCUAUGCACAUUUGCAAAAAGGGUUUCUUUUUACUCACAUUUCAGGGAGGUUUUUUUCAUACACAAGUCUUAGAUAAGCUCACUAGCAGGCAAGUGCGUAGCACAGAAAAAUGCAUAUGAUUUAACCGAUGAGUCACAUGCAACAAAUAAUGAAUUAUGGAUGGUAGAACUCAAAAGAGAAGUCACAAGGCUUAUGCAGCAUUUAAAUCCUGUUUACAACUCCAAAUGAGGGCACUUUGAUUCAGGUCCUUAUAUAUUUGCUUACAGGCCGGAUUCCCAGGAGCCAGACAGGGAUGUCACCAGUUUCCCUCUGGCAGUUCCUGCUCUCUGUAUCUCAUUCUUCAGCCUAUUAAAAAAAAAAAAAAAAAAAAAAAAAAAAAAAAAAAAAAAAAAGGAAACACAAG